GGGUUGUGAGGUUAAGCGACUAAGCGUACACGGUGGAUGCCCUGGCAGUCAGAGGCGAUGAAGGACGUGCUAAUCUGCGAUAAGCGUCGGUGAGGUGAUAUGAACCGUUAUAACCGGCGAUUUCCGAAUGGGGAAACCCAGUGUGUUUCGACACACUAUCAUUAACUGAAUCCAUAGGUUAAUGAGGCGAACCGGGGGAACUGAAACAUCUAAGUACCCCGAGGAAAAGAAAUCAACCGAGAUUCCCCCAGUAGCGGCGAGCGAACGGGGAGGAGCCCAGAGCCUGAAUCAGUGUGUGUGUUAGUGGAAGCGUCUGGAAAGGCGCGCGAUACAGGGUGACAGCCCCGUACACAAAAAUGCACAUGCUGUGAGCUCGAUGAGUAGGGCGGGACACGUGGUAUCCUGUCUGAAUAUGGGGGGACCAUCCUCCAAGGCUAAAUACUCCUGACUGACCGAUAGUGAACCAGUACCGUGAGGGAAAGGCGAAAAGAACCCCGGCGAGGGGAGUGAAAAAGAACCUGAAACCGUGUACGUACAAGCAGUGGGAGCCUCUUAAUGGGGUGACUGCGUACCUUUUGUAUAAUGGGUCAGCGACUUAUAUUCUGUAGCAAGGUUAACCGAAUAGGGGAGCCGAAGGGAAACCGAGUCUUAACUGGGCGCUAAGUUGCAGGGUAUAGACCCGAAACCCGGUGAUCUAGCCAUGGGCAGGUUGAAGGUUGGGUAACACUAACUGGAGGACCGAACCGACUAAUGUUGAAAAUUAGCGGAUGACUUGUGGCUGGGGGUGAAAGGCCAAUCAAACCGGGAGAUAGCUGGUUCUCCCCGAAAGCUAUUUAGGUAGCGCCUCGUGAAUUCAUCUCCGGGGUAGAGCACUGUUUCGGCAAGGGGGUCAUCCCGACUUACCAACCCGAUGCAAACUGCGAAUACCGGAGAAUGUUAUCACGGGAGACACACGGCGGGUGCUAACGUCCGUCGUGAAGAGGGAAACAACCCAGACCGCCAGCUAAGGUCCCAAAGUCAUGGUUAAGUGGGAAACGAUGUGGGAAGGCCCAGACAGCCAGGAUGUUGGCUUAGAAGCAGCCAUCAUUUAAAGAAAGCGUAAUAGCUCACUGGUCGAGUCGGCCUGCGCGGAAGAUGUAACGGGGCUAAACCAUGCACCGAAGCUGCGGCAGCGACACUAUGUGUUGUUGGGUAGGGGAGCGUUCUGUAAGCCUGUGAAGGUGGCCUGUGAGGGUUGCUGGAGGUAUCAGAAGUGCGAAUGCUGACAUAAGUAACGAUAAAGCGGGUGAAAAGCCCGCUCGCCGGAAGACCAAGGGUUCCUGUCCAACGUUAAUCGGGGCAGGGUGAGUCGACCCCUAAGGCGAGGCCGAAAGGCGUAGUCGAUGGGAAACAGGUUAAUAUUCCUGUACUUGGUGUUACUGCGAAGGGGGGACGGAGAAGGCUAUGUUGGCCGGGCGACGGUUGUCCCGGUUUAAGCGUGUAGGCUGGUUUUCCAGGCAAAUCCGGAAAACCAAGGCUGAGGCGUGAUGACGAGGCACUACGGUGCUGAAGCGACAAAUGCCCUGCUUCCAGGAAAAGCCUCUAAGCAUCAGGUAACAUCAAAUCGUACCCCAAACCGACACAGGUGGUCAGGUAGAGAAUACCAAGGCGCUUGAGAGAACUCGGGUGAAGGAACUAGGCAAAAUGGUGCCGUAACUUCGGGAGAAGGCACGCUGAUAUGUAGGUGAAGCGACUUGCUCGUGGAGCUGAAAUCAGUCGAAGAUACCAGCUGGCUGCAACUGUUUAUUAAAAACACAGCACUGUGCAAACACGAAAGUGGACGUAUACGGUGUGACGCCUGCCCGGUGCCGGAAGGUUAAUUGAUGGGGUUAGCGGCAACGCGAAGCUCUUGAUCGAAGCCCCGGUAAACGGCGGCCGUAACUAUAACGGUCCUAAGGUAGCGAAAUUCCUUGUCGGGUAAGUUCCGACCUGCACGAAUGGCGUAAUGAUGGCCAGGCUGUCUCCACCCGAGACUCAGUGAAAUUGAACUCGCUGUGAAGAUGCAGUGUACCCGCGGCAAGACGGAAAGACCCCGUGAACCUUUACUAUAGCUUGACACUGAACAUUGAGCCUUGAUGUGUAGGAUAGGUGGGAGGCUUUGAAGUGUGGACGCCAGUCUGCAUGGAGCCGACCUUGAAAUACCACCCUUUAAUGUUUGAUGUUCUAACGUUGGCCCGUAAUCCGGGUUGCGGACAGUGUCUGGUGGGUAGUUUGACUGGGGCGGUCUCCUCCUAAAGAGUAACGGAGGAGCACGAAGGUUGGCUAAUCCUGGUCGGACAUCAGGAGGUUAGUGCAAUGGCAUAAGCCAGCUUGACUGCGAGCGUGACGGCGCGAGCAGGUGCGAAAGCAGGUCAUAGUGAUCCGGUGGUUCUGAAUGGAAGGGCCAUCGCUCAACGGAUAAAAGGUACUCCGGGGAUAACAGGCUGAUACCGCCCAAGAGUUCAUAUCGACGGCGGUGUUUGGCACCUCGAUGUCGGCUCAUCACAUCCUGGGGCUGAAGUAGGUCCCAAGGGUAUGGCUGUUCGCCAUUUAAAGUGGUACGCGAGCUGGGUUUAGAACGUCGUGAGACAGUUCGGUCCCUAUCUGCCGUGGGCGCUGGAGAACUGAGGGGGGCUGCUCCUAGUACGAGAGGACCGGAGUGGACGCAUCACUGGUGUUCGGGUUGUCAUGCCAAUGGCACUGCCCGGUAGCUAAAUGCGGAAGAGAUAAGUGCUGAAAGCAUCUAAGCACGAAACUUGCCCCGAGAUGAGUUCUCCCUGAGACUUAGAGUCUCCUGAAGGAACGUUGAAGACGACGACGUUGAUAGGCCGGGUGUGUAAGCGCAGCGAUGCGUUGAGCUAACCGGUACUAAUGAACCGUGAGGCUUAACCUUACAACGCCGAAG
rnacentral:rRNA from 1 species